GAGUUUGAUCCUGGCUCAGAUUGAACGCGGGCGGCAUGCCUUACACAUGCAAGUCGAACGGCAGCACGGGAGCUUGCUCCUGGUGGCGAGUGGCGAGCGGGUGAGUAAUGCAUCGGAACGUAUCCUGGAGUGGGGGAUAACGUAGCGAAAGUUACGCUAAUACCGCAUAUUCUGUGAGCAGGAAAGCGGGGGACCUUCGGGCCUCGCGCUCUUGGAGCGGCCGAUGUCGGAUUAGCUAGUUGGUGAGGUAAAGGCUCACCAAGGCGACGAUCCGUAGCAGGUCUGAGAGGAUGAUCUGCCACACUGGAACUGAGACACGGUCCAGACUCCUACGGGAGGCAGCAGUGGGGAAUUUUGGACAAUGGGGGCAACCCUGAUCCAGCCAUGCCGCGUGAGUGAAGAAGGCCUCGG
rnacentral:rRNA from 1 species